UUGAGCUCGAGCUAGCUCAAAUGAAGGUUCCUUGCUUUUGCAUCAGACUCGGCUCCCUGGUGGUGUUUGGGGAUCGUGAAUUCUGGGCAUAACAUUUGGGAGCUCCUCCGGGAUCCCCAAGACUCCCGAGGGACCCCCCCCCCCCCCCCCCCCCCCCCCCCCCCCCCCCCCCACCCCAGAGAGCCUGACUGGCCACGGUUAGUGUCUGUCCGUUCCCUGUCUCUUCUGUGUGAGCUCAUUUCUGAAAUUCUGGUAGUGCCUGGCGUGGUCUAUUCUGCCCCUGCGAGCCACCGGCCCCCCAGACGCGAAGGGGAAUCAGCCCUAUCACUAUUGGCCUUUAACCACUAGUGACCUCUACAAUUGGAAAGUUCAGAAUCCUAAGUUUUCCGAGAAACCUGCAGGGCUUAUUGAUUUAUUAGACUCUGUUCUUUUUAUCUAUCAGCCCACGUGGGAUGAUUGCCAGCAGCUUUUGCAGGUCCUGUUCACAACCGAGGAAACAAAAAGAAUCCUCAAUGAGGCCCGAAAACUAGUUUCGGGCACAGACGGGAAUCCCACCACCGACCAGGCUCAGAUAGAUGCCUCCUUGUCCUUAACUCGGCCCAAGUGGGAUUUCAACACGGCAGAAGGUAAGGAGAGGCUCCGGGUCUACCGCCAGACUCUAAUGGGGGGGGGGGUCUCCGAAUGGCUGCUAGGAAGCCAACCAAUUUGGCCAAGGUAGGAAAUGUGCAACAGGAAAAAGAUGAAUCUCCGGCUGCCUUUUUAGAACGGAUCAUGGAGGCAUUCCGUACUUAUACUCCCAUGGAUCCAGAGGCUCCAGAAAGCAAGGCAGCUGUUAUCAUGGCCUUUGUAAACCAAUCGGCCAUAGACAUUAGAAAAAAUUACAGAAAAUAGAUAGACUAGGAGAAAAAAAGUCUGCAGGACUUACUGGUAGUAGCCGAAAAGGUAUAUAAUAACCGGGAGCCUCCUGAGGAUAAGUAGGCUCGCGCCAUGGCGGCUGCCAGCAGUAAGCAGACUCGAGACCUGGCCCGAAUACUACUAGCUACCACUGCUGACUCCCCCGAGGAACGAGACCUCCAUCUCCAGCAGCUGGCGGACAACUCAAGAGGAGGUAAAGGAACCACCAAGGGGGGGAAGCAGAGGCUGCAGAAAGAUCAGUGCACAUACUGCAAGGAGAUAGGGCAUUGGGCCCGAGAUUGUCCAAAAAGGCCGGCGGGAAGGGAAGCAAGACUGAUUGAGUAAAAGUCUUAGAGCUAGAUGAACUGAGUGAUUAGGGGAGUCAGGGUUCAGACCCUCUCCCCGAGCCCAGGGUAACUCUUAAAGUGGAGGGGACCCCUGUUGACUUCCUUGUCGACACUGGAGCGCAACAUUCGGUCCUCCACACCCCACAAGGAAAACUAGCCAGCAAGAAGUCCUGGGUACAAGGGGCAACUGGUAUGAGCCAGUAUUCAUGGACUACCCGAAGAACGGUAGAUUUGGGGAUGGGUCAGGUAUCCCACUCCUUUAUGGUAAUACCAGAAUGCCCCUACCCGCUGUUAGGACGGGACUUACUGACCAAGAUUGGAGCUCAGAUAACUUUCAGACAAGGGGGGCCUUAGGUCACUGAUGGCAAGGGCCACCCCAUCCAGGUCCUGACCAUAAAACUAGAGGAUGAAUACAGCUUCCACCAGGAGGUGCUCCUGAGAGAGGAUAAUAUAGACAGAUGGCUACAAGAAUUCCCCUCAGUUUGGGCAGAGAUGGGGGGGGUGGGGUGGGGGAAUAGGACUAGCCACCCACAGGACCCUGGUCCUGGUAGAGCUCAAGCCAGGAGAAGGUCCCGUAAGGAUCAAACAAUACCCCAUGUCUCAGGAGGCCCAGAAGGGGAUCCAGCCACACAUCCAGAGACUAUGAAGCCUAAGGGUACUAGUUCCUUGCCAGUCUGCCUGGAACACCCCCCUACUGCUGGUCAAAAAGCCUCACACAAAUGACUAUCAACCGGUACAAGACCUCCGGGAAAUAAAUAAGAGGGUCACGGACAUACACCCAACUGUUCCCAACCCACAUACUCUCUUGAGCUCCUUGGCACCCUCCAGGGUCUGGUAUACUGUAUUAGAUUUAAAGGACCUCUUCUUCAGUCUGCCGCUGGCACCCCAAAGCCAACCCUUGUUCGCCUUCAAGUGGCAUGAUCCAGAGGAGGGCUACAGCGGGCAACUCACCUGGACAUGGCUGCCUCAGGGGUUCAAAAAUUCUCCCGCCAUCUUCGACGAGGCACUACACGAGGACCUGGGUGAGUACAGAAAGGAGCACGCUGGCCUCACCCUCCUACAGUAUGUAGAUGACAUCCUGAUUGCUGCCGACACGGCCGGCCGAGGACUGCGAGCAAGGGACCCAGGACCUGCUGGCUACCCUGGGGGCCUUAGGGUACCGGGCAUCUGCGAAAAAGGCUCAGAUAUGCAGGGAGAGGGUAAGUUACCUGGGAUACAUCCUGGAGGGCGGACAGCGGCGGUUAUCAGAUGCCAGAAAAGAAUCUGUCCUGAAGAUCCCUACUCCCACCUCCCAAAGGGAAGUAAGGGAAUUCCUAGGAUCGGCCAGCUACUGCCGCCUCUGGAUCCCGGGUUUUGCUGAGAUCGCCAGGCCCCUAUAAGAAGCUACCAAAGAGGGAAAAACAUUUGAAUCGACUGAAAAAGAGGAAACUGCCUUUAAUUAGUUGAAAAAGGCCCUCCUAGAUGCCCCAGCCCUGGGCCUGCCAGACAUUAUGAAGCCCUUCCACCUCUUUGUAGACGAACACAAGGGAAUAGCAAAAGGGGUUCUAACUCAAGCCUUAGGCCCCUGGAACCGCCCGGUGGCUUACCUGUCCAAGAAGCUAGACCCAGUGGCUGCCGGCUGGCUGCCAUGCCUAAGAAUUAUUGCGGCGACAGCACUCCUUGUCAAGGAUGCAGACAAACUGACCCUAGGACAGCAGAUCUGGAUCAUGACCCCACACGCCAUUGAAGGGGUCCUGAAACAGCCUCCUGAUAGAUGGAUGAGCAACACACGUGUGACUCAUUACCAGAGCCUCCUACUCAACCCUCCACGGGUGCGGUGCCACCCCAGUGCGGCCCUCAAUCCUGCAACUCUGCUGCCCGACCCUGACCUAGAUGCUCCACUACAUGAUUGUGCAGGGAUCCUGGAGCAAGUACAUGGAUUCCGGACGGACCUGACCGACCGGGCCCCUCCCUGAUGCCGAGGCUACUUGGUUCACUGAUGGCAGCAGCUUUGUGCGGGACGGACACAGGUAUGUGGGUGCAGCGGUAGUCACUGAAACGGACACCAUAUGGGCGGAGGCUCUACCCUCCGGAACGUCAGCCCAGCAAGCAGAGCUCGUCGCCCUCACCAAGGCGCUGACACUGGGAGCUGGAAAACGGCUUAACAUCUACACACACAGCCGUUAUGUGUUUGCCACAGCUCAUAUUCAUGGGGCAAUUUAUCAGGAGAGGGGGUUACUAACGGCAGAAGGACGGACUAUAAAAAAUAAGCAGGAGAUAUUUGACCUGCUUACGGCCUUAUGGCUUCCUGCCAAGCUGGCCAUUAUCCACUGCCAAGGGCACCAGAAAACUGAUAACCCGGUAGCUAGAGGUAAUCGAAAGGCUGACCAGGAAGCCAAGGCAGUAGGCCUUACUUCAGUUCCCACCAUGACCAUACAACUACUGGACCCGGGAGACCCAGUUUUACCAGACCAGCCCAAAUACUCCCAGGAGGAGUUACAGCGGAUCAAGAAACUCCCCAUGGCCCAGGAGAUAAAGGGAUGGUGGUAUACACCUACAAGGAGCUCGUGCUGCCAGACCGGCUCGGAGUCUCAGUAUCAGAGCACAUGCAUCGGUCUACUCACACGGGGGCCCGAAAAUUAAAAGACUUAAUCUGACAUGCUGGAAUCAAGAUUCACCAACAGGACACCAAAAUAGAGCAAGUUGUAUGUGCCUGCAAGACCUGCCAACUCACCAACUCGAGAGCCACAUCAAAUAAAAAAGGAAGCAGGCUCAGAGGCACCAGACCGGGAGCCCAAUGGGAGGUCGACUUCAAUGAAGUUAAACCAGGAAAGUAUGGUUAUAAAUAUCUUUUAGUAUUUACAGACACCUUCUCUGGCUGUGUGGAGGCAUACCCAACCAAGCAUGAAACUGGGCCAGCUCUUAUCUUGCAGUGGGCUCCAGAAGGCGCACGAGGACAUUUGGCCACGCCUCCGUGCCAUCUACGAGGCCGGCCCAACCCUGACACCUCACCAGUACAGGUCGGGAGACUGGGUCUACGUCAAGAGGCACCGGCAAGAGACCCUCGAGCCGCACUGGAAGGGACCCUACAUCGUGGUGCUGACAACCCCCACCGCUCUCAAAGUAGACGGUAUCGCGACCUGGGUCCAUCACACCCACGUUCGGCCAGCGGGCCCCCCCCCCCCCCCCACGAUCCGGAAGGACUUCGUCACGCAAUGGGCCGUCAGUCGGGAUCAACACAACCUGCUCAAGCUCAAGCUAUAGCGCAUUUGACCCACCUGAUAUUGGUAACUCUGUUAACUCUGCUUGUCAUUGCUCAUGCUGCUGGGAGUCCCCACGCCCCCCAAAACAUUACCUGGCAGAUCGUAGACACCAGCUCAGGGACAAUACUUAAUCAGACAUCCCAGACCCACCCUAGAGACACAUGGUUCCCGGAAUUACGAGUAGACUUAGAAAGCCUGUUUCCCCCUUAUACCGGCCACCCCAGGGUUGAUACCACAGGGUUCAGGCGACAAGACUUUCACUUCUAUGUCUGUCCUGGUGGAAAAGACCAUGGGGACACUUGUGGGGAUGCAGCAGACUACUUCUGCGCCUCUUGGUCAUGUGUCACCACUGGACACAUCUGGUGGACCCCACCACGCACCGGAGAUCUCAUUGUGGUAACACGGCCCAGUGGCCCCCGACCACCAUAUGUCUCGGGCCAUGGUAAUCCUGUGUCAAUAUCUUUCACAGAACAAGGAAAAAAUACAACAGGGUGGGAAGCUGGAAAAACCUGGGGGGUCAGGCUUUAUGACAAGGUCAGACUUGGGCCUAGAGAUAAAGGAAUGUUAUUUACCCUCCGAAUGCAAGCAACCCCCCUUGCCCAGCAGUCGCCCACAGGGGUAGGACCCAACCAAGUACUAGUUCCCCGACCUGCCCCCGCCCGGACGGCCACGCCCAGAAACACCCAGGCUCUGGCCACACAGCCCUCCACAUCCCCUGUCCCUACCGGAGCGUCACCCACAUCUCCUGCCCCGGGUCACAACUUACUAUCUGAUACAGACCCCCUAUGGAGCACGGAGCAUACCAGGUACUAAACACUUCUAGGCCUGACCCGACCAAGUCCUGUUGGCUCUGUCUAGAUGUCCGGCCCCCAUAUUACGAAGAUCUUGCCAUUAAAGGCAAUUUUACAACAGCCUCCAACUCUAACUCCUGCAGAUGGCAGCAGGCUACUGUAAGACUAACCCUCCAGGCAAUAACAGGACAGGGCACUUGCAUAGGCCACGUGCCCCCCGGGCAGUCACAUCUCUGUAAUGAAACCCUAACAGUCCCGAGGGAGACAGUGUAUCUACUUCCCCCCAAAAAUGCAUGGUGGGCCUGUUCCACCGACCUCACUCCCUGCGUCCACUCCCAAGUCCUUAACUCCUCGAAGGAAGGCUUCUGCAUACUCCUGCACUUGAUCCCCAAGCUAGUGUACCAUUCAGGGAAAAAAUUCUUAACAGGUUAGGCUCUACUAACCCCCGAAGUAAAAGAGAGCCUAUUACAACCCUAACUCUGGCUGCGCUCUUGGGGCUGGGAUUAGCGGGGGCAGGGACUGGAAUAUCCUCACUCGUCAUCCAGGACAAAAACUACGGAACCCUAAGGGCAGCCAUUGACUUAGACAUAGAAAGAAUUGAGAAAUCAAUUUCAUUUACAGGAAUCCCUUACUUCUUUAUCAGAAGUAGUACUCCAAAACAGAAGGGGAUUAGACUUAUUAUUCGUGCAGCAAGGAGGACUAUGUGCAGCCCUAGGGGAAGAAUGUUGCUUCUAUGUUGAUCACUCAGGGGUCGUAAAAGAAUCUAUGGCCCUCAUAAGGGAAGGGCUGCAAAAAUGAAAGUUAGAGAGAGAACAAUCUCAGUCCUGGUACGAGUCUUUGUUCAACUGGUCUCCCUGGUUAACUACCCUCAUCUCGGCCCUUGCUGGACCCCUCGCCAUCCUGCUCCUACUAGUAACCCUCGGACCCUGUAUCAUCAACAGGCUGGUCCAGUUUGUCAGGGACCGCGUGGGAGCCGUCCAACUAAUGGUCCUCCGUGCUCAGUACAAGCCCCUAGUAACAGAAGAAGACAAAACAGAAACGCAGCCGGUCCCAUGAUUGGGUCCAUAAGCUACAUGACAAGGGGGGAAUGAAAGAGCGGACCUAGGCCGGCCAACUCCAUUUUGUCCUGUGUCUUCCAUCUUGAGUGACUGUCCCCGACAUGGCCCCCUUUUCUGGGAAAACCCGCAGAAAGAAAUUCCCGCUCACCCGCUAAAACCACCUCCCCUUGAGUAACUUCCCACUCACCUGUUCAAACUUCCCGUUCAAACCAUACCCGGCAACCUGCGCAACAGGACUCUGAUCCUUCCCCAGCUAAUCGGCUAAGGCCACGACCAUCACCCCACCAACUGCCCCUAGACCCCUAUAAGCCUUUGUGCUUUUGAAAUUCGCUCUCUCUCCGGCAUCUCACCGCUGCGUCGGUGCAGGUAGGAGAUUGAGCUCGAGAGAGCUCAAAUAAAGGCUCCUUGCUUUUGCAUCGGA